UCAACCCAUUUAACCUUCUAACCCAUCAAAUUAAAUGAGUUGAUGGGUUGACUCAACUCAUUUUACUAAAUGAGUUGAGUCAACCCAUCAACUCAUUUAACUCUAAAUUCAUUGGGUAAUGAGU
rnacentral:pre_miRNA from 1 species